AUAAAUGCAGCGACGGGAACGAGUACCUGUGAAAGCGCCGGCAAAGAGAACCUCUGUUUGGUGAAAAGGGGAGCGGUGCGCAUGGCGAAUACAUCCCUGAGCAGCGGGCUGAACAAGUGAUUCAGUAGGCCUUGCCGGGUGCGCCCGUUAAAGCGCAGUGUGUUACUGGACACACGGAGGCCGGCAUCCGCGAGGGGCCGGUGAACAGAGGUGGUACCGCGGAUAUCCGCCCUCUGC
rnacentral:ncRNA from 1 species